rnacentral:sRNA from 1 species
GCCGGGCAUGGUGGCGCAUGCCUGUAAUCCCAGCUACUCAGGAGGCUGAGGCACAAGAAUUGUUUGAACCCAGGAGGCAGAGGUUGUGGUGAGCUGAGAUCUCACCACAACACUCUAGCCUGGGUGACACAGCGAGACCCUGUCUUAA